rnacentral:rRNA from 1 species
UCGAACGGUAACAGGGAUUAGCUUGCUAAUUUGCUGACGAGUGGCGGACGGGUGAGUAAUGCUUGGGAAUCUGGCUUAUGGAGGGGGAUAACUACGGGAAACUGUAGCUAAUACCGCGUAAUAUCUUUGGAUUAAAGUGUGGGACCGCAAGGCCACAUGCCAUGAGAUGAGCCCAAGUGGGAUUAGGUAGUUGGUGGGGUAAAGGCCUACCAAGCCGACGAUCUCUAGCUGGUCUGAGAGGAUGACCAGCCACACUGGAACUGAGACACGGUCCAGACUCCUACGGGAGGCAGCAGUGGGGAAUAUUGCACAAUGGGGGGAACCCUGAUGCAGCCAUGCCGCGUGAAUGAAGAAGGCCUUCGGGUUGUAAAGUUCUUUCGGUAGCGAGGAAGGUGGUAAUGUUAAUAGCAUUAUCAAUUGACGUUAACUACAGAA